UGGGGAAUCUUGGACAAUGGGGGCAACCCUGAUCCAGCGACGCCGCGUGGGUGAAGAAGGCCUUAGGGUUGUAAACCCCUUUCGCCGGGGAAGAUGAUGACGGUACCCGGAGAAGAAGCACCGGCUAACUCCGUGCCAGCAGCCGCGGUAAUACGGAGGGGGCUAGCGUUGUUCGGAAUUACUGGGCGUAAAGGGCGUGUAGGCGGUUUGUCUAGUCAGGCGUGAAAGCCCCGGGCUCAACCUGGGAACUGCGUUUGAUACUGGCAGGCUAGAGGUUGGAAGAGGAGAGUGGAAUUCCCAGUGUAGAGGUGAAAUUCGUAGAUAUUGGGAAGAACACCAGUGGCGAAGGCGGCUCUCUGGUCCAUACCUGACGCUGAGGCGCGAAAGCGUGGGGAGCAAACAGGAUUAGAUACCCCCGUAGUCC
rnacentral:rRNA from 1 species